rnacentral:rRNA from 1 species
CCUACGGGAGGCAGCAGUGGGGAAUAUUGCACAAUGGGGGAAACCCUGAUGCAGCGACGCCGCGUGAGUGAAGAAGUAUUUCGGUACGUAAAGCUCUAUCAGCAGGGAAGAAAAUGACGGUACCUGACUAAGAAGCCCCGGCUAACUACGUGCCAGCAGCCGCGGUAAUACGUAGUGGGCAAGCGUUAUCCGGAUUUACUGGGUGUAAAGGGAGCGUAGACGGCAGCGCAAGUCUGGAGUGAAAUCCCAUGGCUUAACCAUGGAACUGCUUUGGAAACUGUGCAGCUAGAGUGCAGGAGAGGUAAGCGGAAUUCCUAGUGUAGCGGUGAAAUGCGUAGAUAUUAGGAGGAACACCAGUGGCGAAGGCGGCUUACUGGACUGUAACUGACGUUGAGGCUCGAAAGCGUGGGGAGCAAACAGGAUUAGAUACCCCAGUAGUC